CACCGUUUAGCUGUCUGCCUGCAAACUUAACAACCCCGGUUCUUGGUAUAAGCACUCAAAUUACCCUUCUUUCUGCAUAUAAACACGGCCCGGGGUGUGCGGCUCUCCCCGGCCGCGGGGUCCCCCCGACACAGCCCGGCUCCCCUGCACCGACCCCGGCCCCGGCCGGAGGAAGUUUCUGCUGCGGGACACGGCAGGAGAAAACGAGCCGAACACAGAACCCCCGCUCUGCGUGGCUCCCCCGGGCCAGCGCUCAGCCAGACUUUAUUAGCGAGGGAAGAAGAGAAUCUUCCUUCUCUCUCCGCCCGUGGCAGAUGCAGCAUGCAGGAUCCCACUGCCUGCCAUUUGCAGAGCACUUUUCACCCUAAAAAAUCUCAGGAAUUUGCUCUCCUCAAAAAAAAAAAAAGAGAAAUCCAUCCUAAAUACCUGGAAGUGACUUUUCACCAGUGA
rnacentral:lncRNA from 12 species